UUAACUUAGGGGGUUCCUUUACUAGGUCCCCACCUCUGCAAGGAGCUUUCACCCCUCUGCUGGAGGUGGAAAGGUUCCUGUGCCCAGAGCAUGGCUGGGGGACAUGGAGGGGUGGAGGAUGCACGCAGGUAUCAGGGGUUGCCUUGGGCCAUGUGGCACGAAGGUGAGGGAGCACUACCCACCUAGCGAGGAAUUCACAGCAUGCAUCAGCCACAAGUGAGAUUCAUGGCUGAGAAAAGAGCCAGCACAAAAAUAAAGCCCUGUUCUUAAGUGAUGCAUAAGCCCCGAUGCCUGAAGCAGCGCUGAACUGCACACAGCUGACCCACCAGAGCUCGUGCUGCACAAAGAUGGGGACAACUGGGUGCUUUCAGUCCAGCACAGCAGCCUGGGUCCUAGACCACAGCAGCAUAUGGUGAGCACAGCCAUCCUGCCACGCUUCAUGGAGCACAGGAAGACCCCACGGUACCAAGAUGUAGCACAAGGAAUUCGCACCAGACAGAUAAGCUUUUAUUCAGACUUUAGUUUUACAUGUGUAGUUUGCACUACGUGCAGCCAAGAAGCGCGCUGAUCCACCUGCACACUUCCAGAGACCUGGAACUGCUCCACAGAGGCAAUUUCAGACCAAAGGCUGAACGCUGCUGUAUUCUAUCUGCCUUCCUAACACGUUGUUGGCAGCUGACAGCGACGAGUCUCUUCCAAGACACAGUAAAAUAAUUCCUCGAGAGAGCUACUGCUACAGCCUUCCUAUAUUCUUAAAAUACUUCCUUACAGCUGUCCCUACUGAUAAUGCAGAUGUAGCAGCUUUCCAGGAAGAAAAUGAUGGUCUUAUUCCUUGAAUAAGCAUUCUGCUCUAUCAAGUACACAGUGAAGUUCACAGGUUCCUUGUUUUUAAUUUUUACUUCUUGUGCAAAAUGCUAGCAGUACAUAUGUGUGGAGGCAAGUCUUCCCCUCACCAAACUAAUUAGGCAAUACAAGCAGUACAAAAAAACUGUGUAUAAACAGGAGGAAGUGCUAACUUGUACUAGUACUCCAUCUUCUUUCAAAAAUUUGGAAUUUAAGUAUUGAGGAAGUAAAACAAUGUCAAAAAAAAAAGGGCAAAUUUGAAUUAUUUUGAGUUCUGUGAUCAUGAAAUAGGAAAGAAAAGAUUUUAUUGUGCAAUCAAACAUAAGCAUGGUAAGGAAUAGAAAAGUAAUGAAUAGGUGGGGAUUAAAUACAAGGAAAAUUAAAAACUAAUAGUAAAAAAACAUCUAGGAAUGACACUAUGAUGAUUCUAGAAUGAUUCUAGAAGAUACAAUGCUUUUAUGGCGGCAUUUCUUUUAUAUAUUUUAUCCUUUAUAUUUUCUAUUAUAUAUUUUAUAUUAUAUAGCAGCAUAUGCUAUUUAUGAAAUAGCAUAUAAAUGUAAGCCUCUGCAGUAUGUCUAUACUUGGUUGAGAUCUGUAGGUAGUAGUACUGUUUAUGGAUGAUGCUAAACCCAGUAAUUUGCGAAUUUUUCUCUGUGUUCUCAUUUCAUUUUUGAAAAUCAUCCACCCUUAAACCCAAUAUUCUUUUGUAUUUAUAUUGUACCUAUGAAUACAGUCUCACAGAAAUUAUAUCAAGUAUCUCCCAAAAUAGCUGAGGGGAUGCUAACAGUGUUAUACUUAAAAUGAUGAUUUAGAGGCUAGGUUUCCUCUAGAGAAAAGCAGCCCGCCUAGGAAUUGUCCCUACCAACAAAACCACGGCAAGCCUAUAUUCUCCAUAUCAUUUUUAAUUGUUUUAGAUGUCUCUACACAGCUGUGCAAUUGUGUUAGGCUGUUAAUAUUUUAAAGGUUAAGAUCAAUGAAAAAGAGGAUAUUUCAUUAGGAGUCACCAUAAAAAUGAUAAACUAAUAUUUUGUAACUAUAUUAGUCACAAAUUACUAGGCAAUUCUUCUCAGUAUUUUCCCAGCUUUCCAUAGAACAGAUAUAUAAGCAACAAGACACGAUCUCACAAACCUACGGAUGAAUCAUCCCAACCCUUCUCCUAUGGGAGAACAAAUGCUUUUAUUUCUGAGGAAAUAAAACCUAAUUUACAGAGGGCAUGGAGAGCAAAAGGGCUCUUAAAGCACAAUCUAUCUUGUUUGUUAAUUGUUAAAUGCCUCAGUGUGCAAGUGCUGAAGCAUUGUUCUGCUUUAAAAAAAAAAAAAAGGUUCAUAAUUGCUGGUAUGUAAAAAAAAUACUAAUACCAACAGGCAUUCAGAGGUAUGUUUUAGUAUUUGUCAAAUAUUCUGUAGCUGCAAGUAUUUAAUUAAAAACAAAACCCUGCUUAUUUAAAAUAAAGCUUUACAAGUUAACUGUAACUUCUAGAAAACUGUGAAACAUUUUUCCAUGUUAUUUGGUACUGCUGACAAAUGGCAGCCAUAUUGUAAGGAAACUGGAAUUCAACUUAACGUGAUUAUCACCAUCAGUUACUCCUGUAAAAUAAGCACACCGAAUGCAAUACAGGGAUAAAUUUAAACAAUGUAUUGAUGACAGUCAGCUACAGGGGAAUCAGACUAUGCAACUCCUCUAAAGUCAGAGGGUUGAGGACUAAGAAAAAUAAAGAAAGCACUUGCGGACAGAGGGAUGAGUCAAAAAGGUCUUUUUCAAAAAACAAGGAAUCAUUUAUUUCACAAAAGUAGUCCCUGCCCAUUUCACUCACCAAAUAAAGCAAGAGAACACCAUGGUGUGCACCCUGCUUGUACAGAGUUAACAAAUGCUAUGUUUCUGCCUUUAAAAAGACAUGUUUAAGCAGCAGGGAAGGCAGGAGACAGACCAGAUAAAUCACUCAAACUGUAUUAGCUCCAGCAAGUCUGCUCUGCAUUAGACUUUUAAUUUAGAUUUUACAAUUUUACUAUAACUUUAGCUUAAUUAAAGUGUUUAAUAUGAAGUAAUAUUACAGAAAUAAAACAAUAGAUUUUGGGCCUCAUUCAGAGACAAAACAUUUUUUUUUCUCCAAGUUUCCAGGACUAUGCCAUGACCACCAAUUUCACCACGUAUUUUAACAGUACACUCACAGACACGGUUUGCGUUGCUGCAAAUGUACUACGCUGUGUGCCUUCAUGGAUGGAGCUGAGAUCAGAACUGUUUCAAUGCCACAAUUUUUAGACAAUUUAUCAUCAGAAAAUGAUUUAUAAGAGUACAUGCCAUUUCCUUUUUGAUCAGUUACUUCUCACCUCUGAUAACCCUAUGAUUUUAGAUACUGAAAGGUUGCAUUUCAGCACAACACGUAACUACACAAGCCUACUGUAAUAAUACAUGACGACCUGAGAUCUAAGACCAGUCUGUCCCUGAAAGAGACGGUGCCACCCAUGGGACACGGGACAUACCCGUGCCAUGGGACAAGGUUAGAGUCAGCCCAGAUUUCAAAAAUCCUCUAGAUAUGGUUGUAGGUGUCCCCGGACCCAAACUGCUUCACUGACCCAGUGCUGUUGUUUGGUGAUACUUGCUAAUACAGAGCUGCUAGGCCCUGGGAUAGUCGAAGGUGGACCUGCUUUAAAAUAUUUUCCUAAGAAAUUGUGAGAAGCAAGUUAAAAAAGUCAUUCUAACUGUUAAUGACAGCUGGAUAAUUUCUGCACAGGGUACAAUGUAAAAAUAAAUAACCACAAGCUCCUACGUUCUGAAAAUUAAGAUUUCUUUUUCACGUUAAUGAAAAACAGAAUUUAAACCAUUUUCAAACCAAGUCCUCACUGACCCAUCACUUCUCAGUUUAGGGAUAACUGUUCACAGGAAUUUAUGAGGGUUUAUUACUUACCAGCAUAUUCUAGAAUUACAAUAGUGAUAACUGCAGUCAGGGGAUAUUAACAAACCAUCCUGAGACAGCAUAAAAUCUUUUAUAUCCCUUACCAAGAUAUAAAGAUCAGUUGCUCACUGUCACUCCUGGGUUUUCAUGCUAGCAUAAAAUCAGUAGGCUGUACAGCUAUGGGGAACCACCCUUAACAAUAAAGCCAUUUAAGAGCUGGAAGUAGGCAUCGUCACAGCACUGUUUUAAGAACCAAUAAACCACAAAGAUUAAAUAAAAACUUAGUAUUGCCAAAGCUGGAGCAUCAUCCUAGCGUCCAGAACAGAUCUUAGCAAUGACUGCUCUGUGCCUGCUUCUCCAGCAAAUGCAGGCUGCGUCAGAAGGCGUAAGGACAAAGCAUUUUCACGGCACUGCAGUUUCAGUUUCCUUCCACAACACGAACUGCUGAGUACUCGCAAUGCUGCUUCAGAACCACAGACGCAGAUUAAUUACGGCAAUUAUAACUUAUCAAGGAAAUACCGCGCCGGUUUGUUCUUGUCGUUCCAUCUCUGACUUCGUAAGUGAUGACAAGAUAAUUUAAACAGGCACAAAGCUUACAGGCAUACAUAUCUUUAUCAGUCACCCUGUCCUGUUGAUAAUUGAUGCUCACAGGGACCACAUCCCAGAACAUUAAAAAUCACAGUAUUUUGGCAGUGAUACCAAGUGAAAAGCGCUCUUCUGGGCUCUAACCAGUGGCAACAGCAUUUGCCACUAGGGUAAUACUUGUUUGAGAAAACGGGUCGUUAUAAGGCAAUUAAAAACACUCAUUCAAUAAGCGUGAAAAAUAAAACUGGCUUAUUCCUAAAGAUAUUGAAUGUACUGACGUUCUCUCCUGCCGCCAGCAGAUGUAGCUGCAGUGCAAGACAGACAAACUAUACACAUACAUCCCCAAGUCCCCCCGGCAUCCGUGUGCAUAGGGGCCCGCAGCCCCUGCCCUCCUCCUGCACACCAGCGUCUGUGGGGAAUCUGCUUUGCCCAGGAGGGCAUAACAGACAGGCACUUGACAGAUAGGAAUUAUAAUAUACAGACUUUUUUUGUUAAUUUCUUUAAAAAAAAGAUGUACCAGCCUCAUUGCUGGUUUUAGUUUUGUCUUGCCAGGUGAGUGGAAGGUGCUUACCACUUCUUUCAAUGGGCACAAAUAUGACCAAAAUGGAUUAACGGCAAGCACACUGAUUACAACAAUUGAUGGACACCAGUUAAGUAGCCCACCACUACAAACCAGUGCAUGGCUAAAGUGAGCAGUGUUCGAAGGACACAGAGCACAUCGUUUGCUGCACUUCUCCAACUUUACUGCCCAGCUUUGCUUCCCCUUUAAAGUCAGAGCAAUCUCUGGUGUGCAUGAACUUCAGCAGUUUAUGUGGAUGAUCAGUCAGGGGGAAAACUGCCCAAUAGUGUUGCUGGCCAGACAGCUAUUCCUUUGAGAUCUCCAACCCACCACACCUGAUUUCCCACUGUGGCUUCUUGUGCUUUACUCCCUGAGAUGGUAUUAGGCAUUACACCACAGAGCAGCUCGGUUUUACUUGACUCAGAACUCCCCUCCGAACCGUACGUGAAAGUCAGUCCUUUAUUCACUGAGGUCCCACCCAGACACUCACAAGGACAGAGCUGACAAUGAAUUUGAGAACGCACUGGUGUUAAUGCAUCUUUAUGUGUGACAGAUGCAGCUUCUUUUUUGCUAAACGAAACAUCAGUGGUGUUUACAAUUAGAAUUUUAUUAUGCUUAACAACUUAAUAUUGAAGCACCAUAUGAGCUGUCAUAAUAUUGUUACCAAUAUUACCAGUAGCUCUUAAACAAAUGAAGUUGGUGCCCAGCUGAGAGAGGAUAGCAGCAGGGCCAGAUCACUAAUUAGCAGGUCCCAAAGGCAGCUGGUUGCUGUUAAAGGCAAAAGGUGAAGGGGCAGGGCAGCAAGCUCUUCUUCUCUUUGUCCAGCUGCCAAAAGUUUAGUUAUUAAGAUCUCACAGGUUCCUGGCAUCAAAAUGAAUCAAGCUUUCCCUAAGGUCAUGUAUAAUACAGUGCUUUCAGAGGCUAAAGUCUGCUUUGAAGUCAUAGCUUUCAAAUCUAUGUGUAUGGUGCUUAGCUUGAAAUUGUAAUUUCCAUUUCUACAGGUACUUUAGAACCUGCAACUGUUACUGUGCAAGUGAACUCACAGCAGUCAAUUACACUGAAGACAUAAGAUGUUUUUAUUUAGGUAAGCCUGUAAGAGCCUCUUUUCAAAAUGAUGAACUGAAAUUAAAAUUUGAAAUGUGGAGCUUAGUGUAAAAUCAGAAACGUCUUCUGUGGUCUGAAAAGUUAAUAUGUAAAGAAACUUUAUUUCACUAAGCGAUAACUCCAGUAAAUAGUUCACGCAACUUAAACUUGAUUUAUUUUUGUGGUUAUCUAACAAUUAUUAGAUGCGACGAAUGCAUUUAAUAUGGGUCCCUAAAAGUUAGUAUUGUAAUUGACCAAUCACUAGUAUAUUGUCUCUGCUUACGUGACAGCAAUGAAGAAUUUUCAAAUGUCUUGUGUUACCCCAUGAAAUAUCUUUUAUGAGUCAAUAUUGGCUCUGACUGUUAUGUUAAAGCAUUAUGCAAAAAGUGUCAACAACAAUCAAAAAUGCCUUAUUCUAGAAAUAUUCUUAAUUCUAAAGAAUGUCUUCUCUUUGGUCAGAGUACUUCAUUUUUAACACUUCUGAUUUUGUAUCUUCAGCUACUUUAAACAUGUAUGUUUGAUUUUAACGGACAUAAGGUAAAACAGGAUAAAGAAUGAUGUGCCAGCCAAUUUACAAAUGCCAAUUGUUGUUUUUUAGCACUAUCAUACAGGUUUCUUUCCUGCAGCUGGAAUUUAAGUCUAUAAUGAAAGCAAUAAAUGUGUCAUAAGCAGGGAGACGGCUGUUCAAAAUCACAUGUGAUCACAGAGUCUUGACAGAAAUCUGCUUCCUUCAGUGUCUGCAGUUCUAACUGUGCCUUGUUGUAAAACGUAAGCAGCCUACAAGAGGCACUUGCAGCAGAUUUUUUAGAGUUGCCCCCAUUUCCUUUCAACACUAACACAACGCAGAAUAUAAAUAAGGAAUGACUCUUUGACAAGGAAUGUUCAACAAGUUGCUAAAAGGCCAUGCACUGUGCUGCAUGCUUAAGACCCGAGAGCCACUGCUGUCAGGAAGUUCCCUGUCAGCCUGUGACAUGUCCUGGGACUUGGCCAUCUCAAGUUUAUGCAGUUGUUCCUUGUCAUACAGUCUCAAGGAAAGUGGCCUCACAAGAAAAGUAAGCAACUGUGGGUCCAGGUCAGCGUUUCUCAAAGAAAAUAAAAAUUAAGCUUACUGACCAAAAGUAAACAGAAACUGCUGACUAGAGUCAUAUUUUGCUAUCCUCUGGCAGGACCAGAAGUACUCUAACAGAAUUAAUCCUCUUGGAUGAUGAUAUACUGAGAGGAAAUUGAGUGGACUGUUGUAGCCCAGCAUGUAGAGUAUAAAUUGGUAUUCCCACUCGUCUUACCCCUUUUCUGCUAUUCCACUAUAGCUUGACAAAGACUUGAGUAUAAACAAAAUGCACUGUAGCUGCAGGCUGUGUCCUGCUAUGCUUUGUUGUGUUCUGCCUGCAUUUAAUGGCUCUUAGUGAGAUUCAACACUGGAGACCAAGGAAGAUGUGACUGCAUCUUGGGACCCAAAUGGUAACCCACAAGAUUCAUUGGCAGAGUGGACAAGAAGUGAGAACUUGAAUAAAGCUAUUAAUGAGCAUCAGGAUGAAUAUCUUGCUUCUUUUAGUGUCUGGAGAGCAUGAAAUGCUUUGCUGAAUAUAGAACUAAUUUGUCACAGAAAGUAGAGGAAGUCUAUUCAUUCCUACCCCUUAGAAGGAUGUAGACAGUUCUGCCAAACAGCUGCAGGGGAACUCCUCAGUCAUGGGCUCGUUACUAGGGGCAAACCAAAAUGCUUACAUGAACUCUAGUGUUCACACUCAAUGCUGUGAAACACUGGAACAUAAGCACUUUGCUAAAGAUAGCCUUGGCCCCUUGAGACAUACAGAUGCUUUCCAAGUUUCUUUGCCUUGACAUGGCAUGUCAUGGAAUAGCGCUCUGUUACACAUCUUCUGCCCCUUUGCCCCUUACAGAAACACACUAGAAAGAAAGCUGUCUUCCUUGCAGUUUUUAUGUCCCUCGUGUCCUGAUGCAGAAAAUGGACCUUGAACAAAUAAACAGGCAGCUCUAAAGAUAGGACUCGGGGGUAGCCUUCAAUUCAGUAAGCAAAGGAUACAGAAAGCUUGCAGCUACUAUUUUAGUCUCUGAAGUAGAACACUGACUUUUUUCUGAAGAAUCUGAAACAUCUGUGUAAAUAAACAUAAACAGGACAAAACUGUUCUUUCCCCCAGAUUGUCUCUUCCCACAACAUCCCACUUAGGGAAGAUGCAAGAAUGACUUUCCAGACUGCAGAGCCCUCAAAAAUAAGAGUGGGUGUUUUUAAGAUUCUGCUCCUUGAGAGUCUUCCAUGAGAUGUGUCCUGAAAACACAAAAACACUUGGGGAUGUCAUCUCAGGCCAAGAAGAAUGGAGCCUCAACCACAACUGAGUCCCAACCACAAUGAAACCUUUUCUGUCACAGCACAUCAGGGCACAGUGCAGCUAUGAAGUGCACGAACGCGUGCUGGCUUACAUCAGUCAAUUCACACUGCAUGUUUGCUGCUAGCCGGCCGUUCUCGGAUCACAACGCCCACUUCUCUCUACUUAUGGGCUGCAGGAGAGCUUCAAUCUGUGUAGCCUAUAGCAGCAGUAGGACAUAAUCCUCUCACUCCUAGUGGUAAAUGUCAGUAAAAGGGUUUGGGUUUUCUUUUUUUUUCCCUCAGACGGAUCACUGUUCAAUUCUUCACAUGGAAACAUAGAUUUAAGAAGGUAACAACAAAAGGCUUGCAUCUGUGGUCCUCACACAACUGAAUAGUCCUACUUAUUUACCGGGUAUUAAAAAAAAAACAGCAAUUAUUUCUCAGAGGUAAACUAAUGAGAGUACAGGCAUACAAAUACAUA